UACCUAGUUAACUGUAAGUCGCUCUGGAUAAGAGUGUCUGCUAAAUGACUAAAA
rfam:Salmo salar isolate Sally breed double haploid chromosome ssa14, whole genome shotgun sequence.